AAUUCUCAAACCUUCUUGGUUUCUCGACCAAGAUGGCUUUGGACUUUGGAGGUGUUUUGCUGGCUUUGCAGAAAGUCGGCUCCUCUUAAAUGCAUUAGUGGGGUCCCCUUUGCCAAUCCCCAGGCGUGAUAAGAUGUUUUCUACGUCUUGGGAUUUGCUCUGUUCGUUGGGAACCCGCUUCCAAUCGUCUCACGAGAGACAUCGUUCGAGCUUGCUCGGCACACGAA
rnacentral:misc_RNA from 1 species